UUUUGUUAUAAAAGUCGUAUUUUUUAAUAUAUUUUCCAUUUAAUGGAAAUAUUGGACGCAUAUUGAAUUGGGAGGUCGACUGCCCGGUGAAUUCAGUUGCUUUGCUUUUAAUUUAUUUGUUUGUGUACAUUUUUUUACACUUUGUAGUGUCUAAUAUUAUGUUUCGACCGACACGUAAUUACGAGAUUUAGGCUGUUGAGUAGAUUAUUUCACUAAUCUGCUAGAUUUAUCAAUACUUCGCUAUACCAAAAUGACACUUGUUAAUCUCGUCACCAAGGAGCUUGAAGCUAAUCUACUCGAAACCCCCUAUGCGACUCUGAUUUAGCGCCAUCUAUUUAUCAGUAGGGAAAUUUAACACAACCUUAAUCUCGUGAAUAAAUGUCGGUCGGAACAUGGUAUUCCGACCGCUCUAUGCUGGCAGUUUCGGCAGUACAAGGGGAAAUCUUUUUUUUUGACGCACAAGGUGGAAGUGGAAAAACAUUCUUCAUUUCGAUAUAUCUUGCUGAGAUACGAUCAAAAAUGGCAUCAUCUAGCAUUGCAGCCUCUUUAUUAGAUGGUUAUUUCAAACACGCUCAACGUACGCCGCUGAGAUCAAUGCUUGCUUAAAAUUAUCGUGACUGUGGCGUAAUAUUGAAAAGGUACAACUGACAGUGAACAUGCGCGUUCAUAUGCUUCGAGAUUCAUCUAUCGAAAUUUUCUGAAAACAACUAUUAGAUAUUGGGAAUAGAAAAGUUUGUGAACAUGAAAAUAUUGGAUGCAAAAAUUUACCGACGACCAUCAACUCACGAAAUACUCUCAUCGACAAUAUAUUAUAUUUCCCAUUGAACACUCAAAAUAUAAAAAUCUUGAAUGGUUGGCAGAAAGAGCGAUUUUGGCAGCAAAAAAUGGAUUAAAUUCAAUGAUACAACAGUUGUUGCCAAGGAAUUGGUGUCAUCCAAACCAAAAAUAACGUAUAUGGAAAAACAACGUUUACUGGCGUUUACAAUUGAAGUAUCGGUUUUUCAAGGUUACAUUUACAAUCGCGGUGAAAAAACCACAACUUUUAAUGGACUGUUUAACAAGGAGAAAUCUGAGG